rnacentral:misc_RNA from 1 species
GUGAAUCAUCAAAUUUUUGAACGCAAAUUGCACUCUCUUCGGAGAGUAUGCCUGUUUGAGGGUCAGCCUAAAAAAAAAAUCGAAAUAUUCGCUUUUUCGCGGUGACAUUCUUCGAAAUUUGGUUAAUUUUAAACUUUUGGUUUUUAGGCGGUUUAAAUUUUUUUUUAGGUUUCCACGAAGUUUUCUAAGUUUUACUUUUUUUACUUUAAAGGUAU